AUUGAACGCUGGCGGCAGGCUUAACACAUGCAAGUCGAACGGAGUGGCGGACGGGUGAGUAAUGCUUGGGAACUGGCUGGUAGCGGGGGAUAACUAUUGGAAACGAUAGCUAAUACCGCAUACUACCAGAUGGACCUGCGUUGUAUUAGCUAGUUGGUGGGGUAACGGCUCACCAAGGCAACGAUACAUAGCCGACCUGAGAGGGGGAUCGGCCACACCGGGACUGAGACACGGCCCGGACUCCUACGGGAGGCAGCAGUGGGGAAUAUUGCGCAAUGGGGGCAACCCUGACGCAGCCAUGCCGCGUGUGUGAAGAAGGUCUUCGGAUUGUAAAGCACUUUAAGUUGGGAGGCGUUACCAACAGAAUAAGCACCGGCUAACUUCGUGCCAGCCGCCGCGGUAAUAC
rnacentral:rRNA from 1 species